UAUAAAUGUAAAAUUAAACUAGAUUAGUAGUAGCUAUGUUCUUGAAAAUUAAAAAUUUUGGCGGUUUUUUAGUCUAUUCAGAGGAACCUGUUCUGUAAAUGAUAGUCCACGAUUUGAAUGUCCUUUAUUAUUAGUUUGUAUAUCGUCGUAGUUUGAAUAUUUUAAAAGAAUUAUAAUAUUCAAAAUUUAUUUAAAUAAAAAAAAUCAGAUCAAGGUAUAGCGUAUAUAAAGGUAGAAAUGGGUUACAUUAAUUUUAAUUAUAGAUUAUUAAUUUAAAAUUAAAUAUGAAAAAGGAUUUGAUAGUAAUUUUUAAAAAAUUUUAAAAAUGAUUUUAGCUCUAAAAA
rnacentral:rRNA from 1 species